UACUUCAACUGAUUUCCCCCACUCUGCUUUUGUGUCUGAAGUGGCAAGAACAAUUUCCCAUCGACAUACUGGGAUUUUUCUUUAGACAUUUAACUUCACAUAUCCUCAUGCUCUACAUUCUAAGGGAAGGUUGGAGGCAUCUGUGGGGACUCAGCUCUUUAAGCAAAAGUACACUGUCCUCUAAGGCUUUUCCUUCAGCAAAAUACAGUGUGAGUUGCAUAUAGGUUGCACAGAAAUAAAAGAAGCAAAAAAGAAAAAUGGAGAUCUACGAAUGCCAAAGUACUCAUCGUUCUUGUUUUUCUAUGCUAAAAUAAUACUUAAAUGUAUCUAAUAAGCACUUAUCUUUGCCUUGCUUCUUGAUAAAAACUAAAGGGCAUAGCCUCCCACAGUGUGCGAAAAAUUUCAGUUUGGGUUAUUGAAGAGGAAAGUGGUUUCCAUAUCUGAGGUAUCGCCUUUGCUUUCAUUUAUUAUCCUGUGGUAGUGCUGAAAACACUCCAUUAAACAGAGCUUCACGAUCCACUGCCUCCUUCCUCUGUGUUAGCAGACAUUUUUAAAAUGCCUAAGCACAAACAGUGAUCUACUAGGUCCAGAAGUCAGCCUUCAUAAACAAAAUACUUCAGGAAA